CCUACGGGAGGCAGCAGUGGGGAAUAUUGCACAAUGGGGGAAACCCUGAUGCAGCAACGCCGCGUGAAGGAAGACGGUUUUCGGAUUGUAAACCUCUGUUCUUAGUGAAGAAUAAUGACGGUAGCUAAGGAGCAAGCCACGGCUAACUACGUGCCAGCAGCCGCGGUAAUACGUAGGUGGCAAGCGUUGUUCGGAAUAACUGGGCGUAAAGGGAGCGCAGGCGGGAAGACAAGUCAGCUGUGAAAUCUACGGGCUUAACUUGUAGAAUGCAGAUGAAACUGGUUUGCUUGAGUGAAGUAGAGGUAGGCGGAAUUCCGAGUGUAGCGGUGAAAUGCGUAGAUAUUCGGAGGAACACCAGUGGCGAAGGCGGCCUACUGGACUUUAACUGACGCUGAGGCACGAAAGUGUGGGGAGCAAACAGGAUUAGAUACCCCUGUAGUC
rnacentral:rRNA from 1 species